ensembl:snRNA LOC120093294 U6 spliceosomal RNA
GCUCGCUUCUGCAGUGCCCACUCUAAAAUCUGAACAAUACAGACAGAAUUAGCAUGGCCCCUGCACAGGGAUGACACAGAACUUCAUGAAACAUUCCUUAUUUUU